GACGAACGCUGGCGGCGUGCUUAACACAUGCAAGUCGAACGGAAAGGCCCUGCUUUUGUGGGGUACUCGAGUGGCGAACGGGUGAGUAACACGUGAGUAACCUGCCCUUGACUUUGGGAUAACUUCAGGAAACUGGGGCUAAAACCGGUUAGGAGACCCUGCUGCAGGUUGUGGGUCGGAAAGUUUGGGCGGUUGGGGAUGGACUCGCGGCUUAUGAGCUGGUUGGUGGGGUAGUGGCUUACCAAGGCUUUGACGGGUAGCCGGCCUGAGAGGGUGACCGGCCACAUUGGGACUGAGAUACGGCCCAGACUCCUACGGGAGGCAGCAGUGGGGAAUAUUGCACAAUGGGCGGAAGCCUGAUGCAGCAACGCCGCGUGCGGGAUGACGGCCUUCGGGUUGUAAACCGCUUUCGCCUGUGACGAAGCGUGAGUGACGGUAAUGGGUAAAGAAGCACCGGCUAACUACGUG
rnacentral:rRNA from 1 species